rnacentral:piRNA from 1 species
UAAAGCUGGGAUUGGUGGGUGCAGCUC